ensembl:lncRNA
GUGGCCAUUGAACAGAAGCUGGUGGGAGUACCUGGGUUGUUAUCUUUGUGCAGACCUCUUCCUACAGAGAUGGGAGGAAUUAGGAGUGCAGGAGACCAAAGAGAUACCUAGCAUGCUGCACAUCCUGAUUUCUGCUUCUGUUUUCAGAAACAUGAAUACGUGUUCAGAGUCUCUUGUGCCAAACUGUAUUAAGCUCAGAUGAAGAAAAGAUAAAGGAACCCUUGAAACGGGGGAAUUUGUUGUAACAUGACUCCCUAGAAGUGGCACUGCUUGGCUCUGCAUUUCUCAUCACUCUAAACAGCU